GACGAACGCUGGCGGCGUGCUUAACACAUGCAAGUCGAACGGAAAGGCCCUGCUUUUGUGGGCUUCUCUAGUGGCGAACGGGUGAGUAACACGUGAGUAACCUGCCCUUUACUUUGGGAUAACUUCUGGUAACUGGGGCUAAUACCGCCUAGUAGCUCCUGCUGCAUGGUGGGGGUUGGAUAGUUUCGGCGGUUGGGGAUGUACUCGCGGCUUAUCAUCUUGUUGGUGGGGUAGUUGCUUACCAAGGCAUUGACGGGUAGCCGGCAUGGGAGGGUGAACGGCGAAAAUGGGACUGAGGGAGGGAGCAGAGGGGAACGGGAGGCGACAGUGGGAAAUAUGACACAAUGGGGGGAAGCGUGAUGAAGAAACGCCGGGGGCGGGAUGAAGGCCUACGGGUUGUAAAGCGAUUUAGGAUGAGACGAAGCGUGAGUGACGGUAAUGGGUAAAGAAGCACCGGCUAACUACGUG
rnacentral:rRNA from 1 species